rnacentral:rRNA from 1 species
GACGUAGGGCGCAAGGCGUUGUCCGGAUUUAUUGGGCGUAAAGAGCUCGUAGGCGGCUUGUCGCGUCGACUGUGAAAUCCCGCGGCUCAACUGCGGGUCUGCAGUCGAUACGGGCAGGCUAGAGUUCGGUAGGGGAGACUGGAAUUCCCGGUGUAGCGGUGAAAUGCGCAGAUAUCGGGAAGAACACCCGUGGCGAAGGCGGUUCUCUGGGACGGUACUGACGCUGAGACGCGAAAGCGUGGGGAGCGAACAGG